GGUUGGAAAGAUGGCUCAGCGGUUAAGAGCCCUGACUGCUCUUCCAGAGGUCCUGAGUUCAAUUCCCAGCAGCCA
rnacentral:tRNA from 1 species